GAACUAUCUGAAGGCAACAUGGUUCUUCUCUCUAGAAACCAAAAAUGUGAAGCCAGGAAAGCUAUGGAUACUGAAGAGAGCAGGGGAGUUCCUGGAAGGGAGAGAACCAGACAGCACAUUACUUUUAUGGAGUAACUUUUAGAAGGACCUUACUCCACCACCAUCACUGCUGAUCUGACCAGGUGAAGCUCCCAAAAUUGCUGUGGAGAUUGCUGCCUUCCUGGAAGUCAGAAGGCUAAAAGAAUACAUAGGGUUGCAUGUGGGAGAUUUUUAUGACCCAAACCUAUCUGUUCACAUAUCUCUUAGGCCCACCUUCCCCUGGUCAAAAUACACUUCCAGUGCCACACCUCAUUGCUGGAGAACCAGAGAGUAGAGUCUUCUAGCCCAAGAAGAAGGAAAUAUCGGUUUUGGCAAGUAGUCAGCAAUCUCUGCCACACUCAAUUGGCAUUCUUUGAAUUAUUUUUAGCAUACUUCACUAAGAACUGAAAGAGAGGAACACUUAAUAUAGGUCCUGCAAAUAAUAAGUAUUCAAUACAUCCUUGUUGAAAUCAAUAAAUGAAUCCAA